UCGAACGGAUCCUUCGGGAUUAGUGGCGGACGGGUGAGUAACACGUGGGAACGUGCCCUUUGGUUCGGAACAACUCAGGGAAACUUGAGCUAAUACCGGAUGUGCCCUUCGGGGGAAAGAUUUAUCGCCAUUAGAGCGGCCCGCGUCUGAUUAGCUAGUUGGUGGGGUAAAGGCCCACCAAGGCGACGAUCAGUAGCUGGUCUGAGAGGAUGAUCAGCCACAUUGGGACUGAGACACGGCCCAA
rnacentral:rRNA from 1 species